UUAUGUAAUAUUUAGUCGUUUUAGACUCUAUUUUCAGUAACGAAAGAAACAAUUAUGUAAUAUUCACUUUCCAGACUUGCUUAAACAUAUAGUUUGUUUAAAUCAUUUAUCAGAGACCUUAGACAAUCAUAAUUUGCUUAAACAAUUAAAUAUAUUAUCUUCAUAGACCUUAUCAUUAAAUUCUUUUCUUCUACACUAGAUGUUUAUAUUUUAGAAUAAUUUAAUACAGGGCAAACGUGCAUCGCACGUAAAUUCACUGCUACUGUGUAUAUAUAUAUAUAUAUAUAUAUAUUUA